rnacentral:rRNA from 1 species
AGUGAACGCUGGCGGCGUGCUUAACACAUGCAAGUCGAACGAGAACGGGUUAUAGCUUGCUAUAAUUGUCAGCUAAGUGGCGCACGGGUGAGUAAUGUAUAGGUAAUAUGCCUCUUACUAAGGGAUAACAAAUGGAAACGUUUGCUAAUACCUUAUACUCCUUACUAACUAAAGUUAGUAAGGGAAAGAUUUAUUGGUAAGAGAUUAGCCUGUAUUGUAUCAGUUAGUUGGUGGGGUAAUGGCCUACCAAGACAAUGACGCAUAACUGGUUUGAGAGGAUGAUCAGUCACACUGGAACUGAGACACGGUCCAGACUCCUACGGGAGGCAGCAGUGGGGAAUAUUGCACAAUGGACGAAAGUCUGAUGCAGCAACGCCGCGUGGAGGAUGACACAUUUCGGUGCGUAAACUCCUUUUAUAUAAGAAGAUAAUGACGGUAUUAUAUGAAUAAGCACCGGCUAACUCCGUGCCAGCCGCCGCCGUAAAAC